UACGGAGGGGGCUAGCGUUGUUCGGAAUUACUGGGCGUAAAAGCGCACGUAGGCGGCUUUGUAAGUUAGAGGUGAAAGCCCAGGGCUCAACCCUGGAAUUGCCUUUAAGACUGCAUCGCUUGAACAUCGGAGAGGUAAGUGGAAUUCCGAGUGUAGAGGUGAAAUUCGUAGAUAUUCGGAAGAACACCAGUGGCGAAGGCGACUUACUGGACGAUUGUUGACGCUGAGGUGCGAAAGCGUGGGGAGCAAACAGG
rnacentral:rRNA from 1 species